CGAUCGUUAGCUCAGUUGGGAGAGCAUCGCCCUUAUAAGGCUAGGGUCACUGCUUCAAGUCCAGUACGACCCACAA
rnacentral:tRNA from 1 species